rnacentral:rRNA from 1 species
GAGUGGCGAACUGGUGAGUAACACGUGGGAAACCUGCCCAGAAGCGGGGGAUAACACCUGGAAACAGAUGCUAAUACCGCAUAACAACUUGGACCGCAUGGUCCGAGUUUGAAAGAUGGCUUCGGCUAUCACUUUUGGAUGGUCCCGCGGCGUAUUAGCUAGAUGGUGGGGUAACGGCUCACCAUGGCAAUGAUACGUAGCCGACCUGAGAGGGUAAUCGGCCACAUUGGGACUGAGACACGGCCCAAACUCCUACGGGAGGCAGCAGUAGGGAAUCUUCCACAAUGGACGAAAGUCUGAUGGAGCAACGCCGCGUGAGUGAAGAAGGGUUUCGGCUCGUAAAACUCUGUUGUUAAAGAAGAACAUAUCUGAGAGUAACUGUUCAGGUAUUGACGGUAUUUAACCAGAAAGCCACGGCUAACUACGUGCCAGCAGCCGCGGUAAUACGUAGGUGGCAAGCGUUGUCCGGAUUUAUUGGGCGUAAAGCGAGCGCAGGCGGUUUUUUAAGUCUGAUGUGAAAGCCUUCGGCUCAACCGAAGAAGUGCAUCGGAAACUGGGAAACUUGAGUGCAGAAGAGGACAGUGGAUCUCCAUGUGUAGCGGUGAAAUGCGUAGAUAUAUGGAAGA